UUGAACGCUGGCGGCAUGCCUUACACAUGCAAGUCGAACGGCAGCGCGGGAGCAAUCCUGGCGGCGAGUGGCGAACGGGUGAGUAAUAUAUCGGAACGUGCCCAGUAGUGGGGGAUAGCCCGGCGAAAGCCGGAUUAAUACCGCAUGAGACCUGAGGGUGAAAGCGGGGGAUCGCAAGACCUCGCGCUAUUGGAGCGGCCGAUAUCAGAUUAGCUAGUUGGUGGGGUAAAGGCCUACCAAGGCAACGAUCUGUAGUUGGUCUGAGAGGACGACCAGCCACACUGGGACUGAGACACGGCCCAGACUCCUACGGGAGGCAGCAGUGGGGAAUUUUGGACAAUGGGCGCAAGCCUGAUCCAGCAAUGCCGCGUGCA
rnacentral:rRNA from 1 species